rnacentral:rRNA from 1 species
UUAAAUUGAAGAGUUUGAUCAUGGCUCAGAUUGAACGCUGGCGGCAGGCCUAACACAUGCAAGUCGAACGGUAACAGGAAGCAGCUUGCUGCUUUGCUGACGAGUGGCGGACGGGUGAGUAAUGUCUGGGAAACUGCCUGAUGGAGGGGGAUAACUACUGGAAACGGUAGCUAAUACCGCAUAAUGUCGCAAGACCAAAGAGGGGGACCUUCGGGCCUCUUGCCAUCGGAUGUGCCCAGAUGGGAUUAGCUGGUAGGUGGGGUAAAGGCUCACCUAGGCGACGAUCCCUAGCUGGUCUGAGAGGAUGACCAGCCACACUGGAACUGAGACACGGUCCAGACUCCUACGGGAGGCAGCAGUGGGGAAUAUUGCACAAUGGGCGCAAGCCUGAUGCAGCCAUGCCGCGUGUAUGAAGAAGGCCUUCGGGUUGUAAAGUACUUUCAGCGGGGAGGAAGGGAGUAAAGUUAAUACCUUUGCUCAUUGACGUUACCCGCAGAAGAAGCACCGGCUAACUCCGUGCCAGCAGCCGCGGUAAUACGGAGGGUGCAAGCGUUAAUCGGAAUUACUGGGCGUAAAGCGCACGCAGGCGGUUUGUUAAGUCAGAUGUGAAAUCCCCGGGCUCAACCUGGGAACUGCAUCUGAUACUGGCAAGCUUGAGUCUCGUAGAGGGGGGUAGAAUUCCAGGUGUAGCGGUGAAAUGCGUAGAGAUCUGGAGGAAUACCGGUGGCGAAGGCGGCCCCCUGGACGAAGACUGACGCUCAGGUGCGAAAGCGUGGGGAGCAAACAGGAUUAGAUACCCUGGUAGUCCACGCCGUAAACGAUGUCGACUUGGAGGUUGUGCCCUUGAGGCGUGGCUUCCGGAGCUAACGCGUUAAGUCGACCGCCUGGGGAGUACGGCCGCAAGGUUAAAACUCAAAUGAAUUGACGGGGGCCCGCACAAGCGGUGGAGCAUGUGGUUUAAUUCGAUGCAACGCGAAGAACCUUACCUGGUCUUGACAUCCACGGAAGUUUUCAGAGAUGAGAAUGUGCCUUCGGGAACCGUGAGACAGGUGCUGCAUGGCUGUCGUCAGCUCGUGUUGUGAAAUGUUGGGUUAAGUCCCGCAACGAGCGCAACCCUUAUCCUUUGUUGCCAGCGGUCCGGCCGGGAACUCAAAGGAGACUGCCAGUGAUAAACUGGAGGAAGGUGGGGAUGACGUCAAGUCAUCAUGGCCCUUACGACCAGGGCUACACACGUGCUACAAUGGCGCAUACAAAGAGAAGCGACCUCGCGAGAGCAAGCGGACCUCAUAAAGUGCGUCGUAGUCCGGAUUGGAGUCUGCAACUCGACUCCAUGAAGUCGGAAUCGCUAGUAAUCGUGGAUCAGAAUGCCACGGUGAAUACGUUCCCGGGCCUUGUACACACCGCCCGUCACACCAUGGGAGUGGGUUGCAAAAGAAGUAGGUAGCUUAACCUUCGGGAGGGCGCUUACCACUUUGUGAUUCAUGACUGGGGUGAAGUCGUAACAAGGUAACCGUAGGGGAACCUGCGGUUGGAUCACCUCCUUACCUUAAAGAAGC